UAGGAGACAAAUGGGAGGAUUAAAACACAAAUCCUGGGAGAGAUCUAAGGUACAUUAUAUCUCACUCUGCAAAAAAAAAAUCAUAUGAGAAUGAAGAGAGUGGAGGGAAGCUAUACAAACUUAAGCUGAACACAUCUUUCAUUUCUUGCACAAGUGUUCAAAGACAAGAUUUUCCAUAAAUGAACCUUAUGAAUAUAUCUACAUGUGGAAAAGA